rnacentral:rRNA from 1 species
CGCAGGCGGUCUCUUAAGUCUGAUGUGAAAGCCCACGGCUCAACCGUGGAGGGUCAUUGGAAACUGGGGGACUUGAGUACUGGAGAGGAGAGUGGAAUUCCAUGUGUAGCGGUGAAAUGCGUAGAUAUAUGGAGGAACACCAGUGGCGAAGGCGGCUCUCUGGCCAGUAACUGACGCUGAGGCGCGAAAGCGUGGGGAGCAAACAGGAUUAGAUACCCUGGUAGUCCACGCCGUAAACGAUGAGUGCUAGGUGUUGGG